rnacentral:rRNA from 1 species
UAAUACUCCAUAGAUCAUGGGAUCUGGAAUGACCCAUGGUUGAAAGUUCCGGCGCUUAAGGAUCGCUCUGCGGCUUAUCAGGUUGUAGUGGGUGUAACGUACCCCCUAGCCAGUGACGAGUAUGGGCCUUGAGAGAGGGAGCCCAGAGUUGGAUUCUGAGACACGAAUCCAGGCCCUACGGGGCGCAGCAGUCGCGAAAACUUCACACUGGGGGCAACCCCGAUGAGGGAAUUCCUAGUGCUAGGACAUUUGUUCUAGCUUUUCUCCAGCGUAGAUAACUAGAGGAAUAAGGGCUGGGUAAGACGGGUGCCAGCCGCCGCGGUAAUACCUGCAGCCCAAGUGGUGGUCGAUUUUAUUGAGUCUAAAGCGUUCGUAGCCGGUUUGAUAAAUCCUUGGGUAAAUCGGGAAGCUUAACUUUCCGACUUCCGAGGAGACUGUCAAACUUGGGACCGGGAGAGGCUAGAGGUACUUCUGGGGUAGGGGUAAAAUCCUGUAAUCCUAGAAGGACCACCGGUGGCGAAGGCGUCUAGCUAGAACGGAUCCGACGGUGAGGGACGAAGCCCUGGGUCGCAAACGGGAUUAGAUACCCCGGUAGUCCAGGGUGUAAACGCUGCCGACUUGGUGU